rnacentral:rRNA from 1 species
CCUACGGGUGGCAGCAGUGAGGAAUAUUGGUCAAUGGACGAGAGUCUGAACCAGCCAAGUAGCGUGAAGGAUGACUGCCCUAUGGGUUGUAAACUUCUUUUAUAAAGGAAUAAAACGAGGCACGUGUGCCUUUUUGCAUGUACUUUAUGAAUAAGGAUCGGCUAACUCCGUGCCAGCAGCCGCGGUAAUACGGAGGAUCCGAGCGUUAUCCGGAUUUAUUGGGUUUAAAGGGAGCGUAGAUGGGUUGUUAAGUCAGUUGUGAAAGUUUGCGGCUCAACUGUAGAAUUGCAAUUGAUACUGGCAGUCUUGAGGACAGUUGAGGUAGGCGGAAUUCGUGGUGUAGCGGUGAAAUGCUUAGAUAUCACGAAGAACCCCGAUUGCGAAGGCAGCUUACUAAACUGUUACUGACAUUGAUGCUCGAAAGUGUGGGGAUCAAACAGGAUUAGAUACCCCUGUAGUC